rnacentral:rRNA from 1 species
GACGAACGCUGGCGGCGUGCCUAAUACAUGCAAGUCGAGCGGAUGAUGAAGAAGCUUGCUUCUUCUGAUUUAGCGGCGGACGGGUGAGUAACACGUGGGCAACCUGCCCUGUAGAUUGGGAUAACUCCGGGAAACCGGGGCUAAUACCGAAUAAUCCCUUUCCUCACAUGGGGAAAUGUUAAAAGACGGUCUCGGCUGUCACUACAGGAUGGGCCCGCGGCGCAUUAGCUAGUUGGUGAGGUAACGGCUCACCAAGGCGACGAUGCGUAGCCGACCUGAGAGGGUGAUCGGCCACACUGGGACUGAGACACGGCCCAGACUCCUACGGGAGGCAGCAGUAGGGAAUCUUCCACAAUGGAUGAAAGUCUGAUGGAGCAACGCCGCGUGAGUGAAGAAGGUUUUCGGAUCGUAAAACUCUGUUGUGAGGGAAGAACAAGUACGAGAGUAACUGCUCGUACCUUGACGGUACCUCAUUAGAAAGCCACGGCUAACUACGUGCCAGCCGCCGCAGUAAAAC